rnacentral:lncRNA from 1 species
GUAUGAGCCACAUGAGAACAGGGAAGCUUGCAGUGAGAGCACAGCGAUUUUCCUGGAACUGCCCCACAAGGCUGUCUCUGAGCCCCUUUUGCUGGGUCCCCAGAGCUGCUGUGGCUCCCAUUCUUCCUGAGGUCUGAGAUUCCAUCUUCCUUCAGUUCUAUAAAAACACUGCAGCUCAACACACAGUGGAUAAGAACCUGGCUCUGGAGUCAAAGUCUUGUAUCCCAAGCUCCAUCACUCACUGCCUGGUGGCCUUAGGAAGAUACCUGUGGCAGAGUGUCUUGCCCGACAAUAGCCACAGCAACAUUUCUGCUCCCACGUGCUCUUCUAGAAUCUAGCCUUUCAAGGGGUAGAGUCUGUUUUCCCUCCUCUUGAACCUAGGCAAGACUUCAUAACUACCUCCAUGAAUACAACGAGGUGGAAGUGAUGCUGCCUGGCUUCUGAGGGUAGACUGUAAAGUUGAUGCGGUUUCCACCAGGCUCUCCUUCUCUGGGGGCCUUUUCCCUUGGAAACUGCCACCAUGCUGGGAGGAAACCCUCACAGAGAGACCGCUGUGGAGAGGAACUGAAGCUCCCAGCAUCGAACUCCAGACACGUAGGAUCCUGAUUGUUACACGAACUGUCCACCUCCAUCCAGAGCCGUGUGGCUUGUAGUGCCUUCUCGUGGCAGGUAUAUUUUCCUGCCUGUUCACGUGACUUGUGUUGGCCAGUGGAAUAUAGUUUGAUCUGCAGUAGUUUGAAUCUGAGGAUGCUGAACCUGUGGAUAAGGAGAGCCUACUUUUCUUGGACAAAUGCCCUGUGUCAGAAGAGUGUGGUAAACAGAAGCUCAGCUCCUUCAAGGAUGACAGCCUUGGUUACACCACCAGAUUCCUCUUCAGGACCAAGGACUCAUUUUCCAGCUGGCAGGAAUGUUAGCUACUGACGGCCAUGGCUGAGUUCCUCUUCAGGAAUUAUCCUCCACUUGAGGGGAAUUGCUUUGUUCAGUGUUACACUCCCUCUAUAGUGGCAGCCCACACUGGUUGAUGUGGGGUACAAAGUCCUGGACCUUGUCUUAGAUGGGAUAGUUCUGAAGGGCUAUUCCAGCUCCAGAACUCCUCAUAGGAUUGGCUGAGGUCUCCUCUGCAACUGGAUCACAGUUCAACUUUUUCUUCUGCCCAGUCCUUCUUCUCUCAUCUGUUGCCAGUUUUAUUCGUGAGUGUGUUUCCCAAUAAACCCCCUGCAUGCAAAUCUCAGAGUCUGUUUCCUAGGGAACUCA